GACACGACUUUAAGUUGAGAUAAGAUGCUUUUUAAUGGAUUUUAGUUUAAUAAUAUUUCAAUUUAACUUGUGGAGAGCUUUAGCAACUAUUUUAAAUCAAAUAUUUUAUUAUUUUAAAUCAAGUAUUUCUAUUUUGUUUUGACAAAAAAAAAUUUUUUUCAAAAAAGAAAGCGAUUUGGCUACGAGGAUUGCUAGCUUUUUUAAGUUAACAGAAAGCUAUCGAUGUUUGUGAAGAUAAAGACAGUGAUUUGGCUACGAGGACAGUCACUAUGGAUAUUUUACGAAACCAACGAUUUAUAAUAGAAUUAAGCAUAAAUCUGGGACCUAAUUGGAUGGCUUUAGGUCGUGGCUUAUUAAUAAACGAUAAAGAGUUAGAAAAAAUAGAAAGUGAAGUUGAUGGAAUAUUGAAUCAAGCGUAUAAAAUGUUACAAAUAUGGCGAGAAAGCAGUAGAAAUCCUUCAUUAGAGGAAUUAAAAAUUGCUUUGAGAAAUAUUAAAAGAUUUGAUUUAGAAGAAUUUGUCACGAAUUUAGAAAAUGCAUACAUAUAUCUAUUUUUUUAGUAUUUUAACCACCUUUAAAAAUAUUUUUAAACAUUCUAUUUUACAUUUAUUUUUUGACUUUAUUUUAUAUUUUGUAGAAUUGGCUUGAGAAAUAAUUUUUAUUAUAAG